AAUAGAUAUUAUGAAACCGCGCGCAACGCAACGCAAAGCAAUGCGCAAAUGUCUGUAAUUGAAGAAUGAAACAUACGCGUGAAGCAUAUGCCUGUAAACCUACCAUUCAAAAUGCUACUAAGACCAGAGAGAAAGAGCUCGGAACCAAACAGACAUUUAUCUACCAGUCAAACUUCGUAAAACUCAAACUCCUUUUGAAGAGACCAAACUCCUCACAAAGAAGAUCAUUUAGCUUGGUGAAAGAAUCAAAGCAGAGCGUGGGCAGAAGAACCAGCACCACCAGUUCAGAGAUGUUCUUGCACAGGAAAUAUACCAGGGAAUCGCUGCAACAUUAAGAAGAGCCUGCCAAAAGAUGACGAUUCAGAAGGUACAUAUACUUGUGCAAGACGCUUUAUCUUCUAGGAGAACAAAAUCAAGCAACAAGAGGAAUCAAAGGCAAGAUGCGAGCAUAUAAAAAGAGGAGGGGGUGAAGGAAAAGGAAAGAAGACAAGACCAAGAGCUCAAAGCAUCUCCAUACCUCUCAAAAAAUAACAUAACAGGAUGAAGAACUUAAAAAAGGAAGAUAACGAGGUAGAAGAAAAAUAUGAAGAAUAAGGGAGGGUGUGAAGAGAAAGUUUGAAAAGUGGGCAAGAGACAGCACAAAGGUAAAUUUUGGUCAUACUCGUGCAUAAUUCCAUUAUUUCACAAAAAAAAGCCCAUUUAUAAGCUUUAAGGAAGCCCAAAACAGACGACAGACCUACUGGACUUGCCAGUCAACAAUCAUUAACUUCCAAAAAAAGGACUAUACAGAAACAUACAUGCUUGCAUGUACACAUGAAAAAAAUUCCAUACAACCAGCCAUCACUGUCAAGGCAAUCAAUUAUAGGACAUCCAAAUUAGUAGUUUGCAUCAACGGCAGGUCAUUAUGAUUUCUUAUCAAAAUCUUUGUCAACGGGGCAACAUGACAAGAAAAACAAUGUUCUCCAUGAAAUCAUAGCAUCCGUCACUUCUAUUAUACUUGAUCUUCAGUUCUAUAUCUUCAUAUCUAAAAAUCAAAACCGAUUAUGAAGUCAUAGGACUUCUAAACCAAACAAAACCCAAUUGACAUCAGAAACUCCAACACACCAUCUCCAUUUACCAGUUUUCCCCGCUCAGCUGGGCAUGCUCUUUAUGCUAGAUCACUUUCUCAAUCCCUAAUCCUCAGAUUCCAUGCCUGGAAUCCCAUGCAACAAUACUAAGUGCUACCUCAUCAACAAAUCACAAGAUAUCCCAAUUGUUCCUAGUCGUUACACUAAUGGGUUGAAAUAUGCAAACCUCAAAAAAAUUUCAUGUAUCUGAUUCUGAAAUAAUUGAAACGUUAAUAAUGAAAAGGCAA